rnacentral:lncRNA from 1 species
CCCCAGCCCAAAUACCAUUAACCGCCCCUAGCCCAUGACCUGUGACUCAAAACUCCCUCUGGAUCCGCCCAUUUCCCCCUCCAUAUAAAAACCCUGUUAUAACAUUUCCCCCCAAAUUCCCUAACCCUAGAGACCAAAAUCAGAGGCAGCUCCUCUACUGUUCUUCUUCUUCAGUGAACUCGCCUCAACUCGCCUGUGUUUUGAGCGAGUUCACUCAUUGGUCCCCCCUCCAUGUCACCUCAUCCUCAACGUAUUUGUCAGAGGAAUACGAAUUUUCUCUUCGGAAUUGCACGAUUCUUGUACAAAAGGAUGAUUUGCUAGACUAAUGGGAGCCGUGGAUAGAUAUGAAUCAAUCCACACCCUCCAUUUGUCCCGAAAUUGUUCAAAAAUCUAACGAUUUUCGGAUAUUUGAGAAGAAGAUUCAAGAAUUUUUGAGGGUUUAUAUAUAGGAGGUAAGUCUUCUUUUUAGGGGAGAAGAAAAAAUUAGAAAAAAAAAUCGGGAAUAAAUCUUCAGAAAAAAAUUGAGUCAAGUUUUUAGGGUUUGAAGUCACCAUUUUCUUCAAGCCAUUCUUUCUUCAGUCUUUUUUUAAAAAAAAACAAUAUGGUCUAAGUUCGAUUUUGAUUUAAACUUUUUUGUAGUUCAUUUUUUGGAAGAAAAAUCGAGGAAGAAAUCGGAGCACUGGUUUUUCUUCUUGAGUUCUGGUUCUAAAAAGAAUCUGAUUUAAAAUUUCAGUUUGGAGUUGAGUUUUAGAGUUCGAAGUUUCAGUAUUGAUUUGGUUCAGGCUCGUCGAUUCAUAUCUCUUGUUGCUGCUCCUUUCUAGCUUUUGUCUGAGGCUCAUUUUCGUUUGUUCUGGUGUUUCAUUGCUGCUUGUUGCAUUAGGUAUGCCAAAAUAACCUGUGAUUCUCUUUUUUAAAAAUAUAAAAUGAUGUUCAUAAUUAUUCAAUUCUAUGACCAUUCAUAUUGUUUGAGUUCUUAACGUAAUUGUUUGGUUCCCUGUGUCGAUUAUGCCUUAUGUCAGCUGUUCUUGUCAAAGCUCUGCCUCUACUCAUUCAUUAGUUGAGCUUUCUUCUUUUUGUUGUUUGAAAAAUAAAAAUGAGAUGAUUCCAGUUUUGAAUGUGUUAAUAGUGAUUCAUUUUGUUGAAGCAUGUUGGUCGUCUAUAUCUCAUCCCGCCGAGGCCUCCGUUUGUGAUUCUUUGAAGACUUGUAGAGGUUUCUCUUUAAGCAUGAUAUAAUCCGCGGUUUGUUUCAUAAAUCUGCAUGAGGUGAUAAUCAGUAGUCUACAAUACUUUGAUUUAUUUAUAAAUUUUGUGUCAUCAAAGGAAAAUACUCUAGAGCUAGUUGACAUUGGCACUAUAAGGCUAGUGUAGCAUGGAUUUCCAAACAUGAUAGUAUUUAAGUUGUUACUAGUAUAAGACUCUUCAGAUUUCUUUUGUUUUCCAAGUAAAGGGAACUUUUCUUCCCAGUUCAAAAAGUAGAUUUAAGGGAAUUGCUGAAGAUCUAAUAAAGAGUGUGAUGGGCUACCUGUGAAGUUGAAUUGGGCAUGAUUGGUAGCUGGUAAAUGUGGGUAUAUUCCCGUUUUUGUUGUUGCUGCUCAUGUAUGCCUCUCUUUAUAAUAACUUCUGAAUUUUAAUUUGAUUAUGGGACUUUUAGUUGGUAAUGGUUUAACAUAGGCUAUGGCAUAAUCUCUUCUCUUCUUUUAAAAAUAAUAGGGUGUAUUAGUUUUAUUUUGGAAUCAGUUUCUUGUAACAACAUAGUUAGUUUAAUGUUUAAAUUAUUAUUGAUCUAAAGAAACGUGUUAAUUUAGGUAAUUUGAUUGUGCUAUCCUGCAAACAUUCUUAUCAUUCUGAAUAUCUGAACAAUUGGUUACAAAUAAACAAGGUCUGUCCAAUGUGUAGCACUGAGGUCUCCACCUUUGGAAACAACUAGCGUUAUUGUGUUACUGAAUUGAAGUUAGUAACUUAGUUCAAUACAGUCAUUGAUAGUAACAUAGAGACUAAUAUCUGCUUGUUUGACCAAGUCUUCAAUCACUCUUGGAUGGCUUCUUUGUUCUCUGUUUCUCAUAUAUCAUGAAUGUACCAAGUUAGCAGAAUAAAAGUUGGAAUUUCUUUUUUCCUUGAUCGUGAUUUACUAUCCUGACAUUGAAAAAUGAAGCCAUUGAUUUGUGCUUAUCAUAUUUGAGACUUAAUUGUACAUGAAAGGCAGUGAGAACAUUUUUUUAAAUAUGCACAUUUUUUUGUUAAGACUCGUUUAAUACACUUUGUUCUCGAUGAGAUUACAUAACUCCUAUCCUCUGGCAGGCGUCUCAAUUUAGUUUAGGAAGUAAAUCAAAUUUCGUAGUUUGCUUUUAGCCCGAUUUAGAUUAGUAUUGCGAUUAUAUAUAUGUUCGCAUAAUAUGAUUGCAAAUUAAAUUCUUAAAAGACUCGAGGUAUACAUUCGCGCAACUUCAACCAAACUUUCUUAAUAAAUCAACAAAAGUGUUAUUAAUCAUGGACACGUUCGCAUGACAUGAUUUUGACUCGCCAAAAGAAAAGAGUAUACGUACGCGUAACUCAAUUCUUUAAUUACAAAUAAUUCAAGUGAUUUAAAAGUGGUAAAGAGAUAAAUGCACAUAGGUCCUAAAAAUGAGUAGUUAAAUAAUUUAAGCCAAAUAUAAAUUGCUAAGCGACCGUGCAAGAACCACGGAACCCGGGAAUGCCUAACACCUUCUCCCGGGUUAACAGAAUUCCUUACUUAGAAUUUUUGGUUCGCGGACUUCGAAAAGGAAAGUUGAAAUUUCCUCGAUUUGGGAUUUAAAAUAAACCGGUGACUUGGAUCACCAAAUAGAAUAUUCCAAGUGGCGACUCUGAAAAAAAAAAUAAUCCCACAUCGAUUAAUAUCACUUUAAUUGGAAAAACUCCCUUAUAUCACCUUUGGGUGUGUAAAAAGGAGGUGUGAUAGCAGCUUGAGAAGAAAGAUGUCCUAAUGAAGGAGGAACUCCGAGCCAGGGACUCUAAAAUUCUCGAACUCAAACAACACGUGAGUGAGAUAGUCUCUGAGAGAGAUACCCUCCAGGGGGAGGUGGCCUCUAUCGGGCAUCAACUUGAAGAUGCAAGGGCGGAGAGUAACAAGUACAGGGAUCUUCAUACUGGGUUGGUUGUUGCGUUAUCCAAGGUUAGGGCUGAAGCCGAGGAGCUCGUAUCCUCGUACAAAGAUGAUGCUGCUACUGCAAAUGCUCAGGCCAGGAAAGUGUCCGAGGAGGCCGAGCUUCCAUUGACCCGAACUAUGGGGCAUGCCCAUUUAGAAUCUCGGAGAUGGGCUCUCGAGGAUAUGUAUGCAGGGGGCAUCGAUUUGUCCGCCGAAAUCGAUAGGGUGAAGACCUUAGAAGAGGAGGACGCAGCCCUGUUUUCCUCUGAAGACGAGUAGAGUAGUGACUAGGGAGAUGAUGAAGAUAGAGGCAAGAUCCCCGAAGGGGGAGAGGCUGUUGAAAACCCGGGGGUUAUGAUCGGUGCUGUUGAAAGCACAAUUUCUAAGGGAGCUGUCAAAGGCAUAGCCUCGGUGGUAGAUUAGGGUUUUAUUUGUUUUUGCCAUUGCUAGGUCUUUAGACAUAGGCCUUGUAGAUGCACCUUUGUGAACCUUCCAACAUAUAUGUAAAGGCUUUUUCAUCCUUUUUUGCUUUAAAUUUUGACGUUCGUCAAUGGUUAGCCAGAUGAAUUGGGCUUCGGGGUAAAACCCUUAGGUUUACAAAUCGGCCCUGAGGCUUGUUAGGCCGGCUCGCAGGCUCUUAUGCAUUUGCCCUUAGGCUUUUUAGUUAACUGUUUCGGGCUCAGUCUUCGAGUCGGAUUUCGACUCGAGCCCAGUGACCCUUAAGUUUUCAAAAUUUAAUUAGGCUCUUAAGCUCUAGGUCGGUACGACCUUUAAUUUUAAGCUGGCGAUAGUGGCUCUUACACAUUGGGUCGGUACGACCUUUAAUUUUAAGCUGGCGAUAGUGGCUCUUACGCAUUGGGUCGGUACGACCUCAUAAUAUAGGCUGGCAUCUGGGCUCUUACGUAUUGGCCCUUAGGCAUAUUUAGUUAACUGUUUCGAGCUCAGUCUCCGAGUUGGAUUUCGACUCGAGCUCAUUGACCCUUAAGUUUUGAAUUUUAAGUUGUCUCUUAGGCUCUUACGCGUUGGGUCGGUACAACCUUUAAUUUUAAGCUGGCGAUAGUGGAUCUUACGCAUUGGCUCAGUAUGACCUUUAUUUUUAAGCUGGCGACAGUGGCUCUUACGCAUUAGGUCGGUACGACCUUUAAUUUUAAGCUGGCGACAGUGGCUCUUACACAUUAGGUCGGUACGACCUUUAAAUUUAAGCUGGCAACAGUGGCUCUUAUGCAUUGGGUCGGUACGACCUCUUAUGUAGGCUUUAUUUUUCCCUCGCUAAUGACUUUUUGAAAUUUUUGUGCUCGCCCGACUCUUCGACGGUUCGAUAAGAACCACGAUUGUGAGCCGUUAUGUAGCGAUGAAUGAGCACCUCGGGAGGUUUAGCUUGAUGGCUGAAUUGUUUUGAAGCCUAUUGUUUGGACCUAAUGUGAUCGAAGCUUUUUUGCUUAUGUCAAGGGUAGCCUGAGUAACCAUUUCUUUUUAAAGUUUUUUCGAAGUAAUUGAAGGCCUGUGAUUUUAUAGCGAUGGUCCAGCAUCCCUAAGUCGCCUGAGUUCGACCGGAGCUUUGUGACCGUAGUCAUUUGUUUGGUCAUAGCCUUUCAGUCCCCGAGUGAAGUAGUUUUGGCAUCUUAUCGAGGGUAUGCCUUUAUAGAGGUCUUAUAAGUUCAGAUAUAUAGCCUUAACUUUAAGAUCAGAAUUAUACCUUUUGUAAGGUCUUAGAAAUUUUAACAUGCCUCCCUUGAGGUCUUAUAGAUAAGUUACUUGGUACAAGUAUGGUUCAUGCCGUGCUUGACGUCUUACAGGUAAGUUACUUGGUACAAGUAUGGUUCAUGCCUUGCUUGAGGUCUUACAGUUUUGGUGUUGCCUUAUAGAGGUUUUAUAUUGUUGAUAAUGCCUUGUGGAGGUCUUACAUUUUCUAGUAUUGCCGCAUGGAGGGCUUUCGGGCUCGAGGUUGCCCGCUUGGGGUCUUACGGCCUUGAUUUUCUGAUUGCUUAAUGGGAUGAUAGUUGACGAUAGUCCCCAAGACGUCGAAAGUGUUUUGGCUCUGGAGCCAUUCUUUGUAAGCUUGGUGUUACCUCAUUGAGGGCUUACGAGUUUGAAGUUUCCGACCUGUAGGUCAUAUGGCUUCGAGUUUUUGACGUCAGUCGCCGAGUGUUCGGGAAAUUUUUUGCUCUGGAUCCAUUUCUUGUAAAAAAAUAGCAGACUUCUUUGAAGCGUAAAGGGUUUUGAUGGAGGAAAAAUAUUCUUUGAUUACUUGGCACAAGUAUACAUGUUUUUGUUGUCAAGGGUUCAGUUAUUCCAUGCGGAUACGGUUCGUUUGACCGUUUGGCCCGAUACAUCGUUUUCCUAUUGAGACCUUUUUUGACCCAUCUUGACUUCUUUGAGAAGGUGAUCUUUAGGGGGGAUGCCCCCCAGUGUUUGAGGUUGAUUGAGGAUAAGCCUUGCACUCUUGUGAAAUUCUCCUUAAGUAGCAUAUAGAUGUUGCCUCGUUAAAAACCUUGUCGGUAAAACCGUUUUUGGGAUAAAACCCGACCGAAGGAAAAGAGUGCAACGUAUGCUUUGAAACCUUAAGGUCUUCGAGCUGGACAGCGCUUCGACUGUUCUGAUCGGACAUCUGCACAAAGGUUAGUGUAAGAUGUAAAUAAAAAGGGAUAUGAUUAUACCUCAGUGGUGAUAGCACUUUGGGCCUCGAUAUGUUUCAAACGUUUACUUCGGGGACACGGCAUGGUCCUUCGCUUGUUUUAUUCGGGUGUAGCUGAGAAUGUGUCUCGUGAUUUCUACUUCACUGUUUGCUUAUCCUUUGGCCCCUUCGAUGUUGGAGGCGUUGAUGUCGGUGCCACAUCGUGCACCGCGAACAUUUACCUCGCUACAUGUUGUUCCCCAUACAUGGUUUUUAUUCCGUCCUUAAUUGGGAACUUCAUUAUUUGAUGAAUGGUUGAUGGUACUGCUCUCAUAUAGUGUAUCCAUGGCCUUCUAAGCAAGGCGUUGUACCUCAUGUCUCCUUCGAUGACAUGGAAUUUGACAUUUUGGAUCGUGCCGGCCACGUUAAUCGGGAGAGUGAUUUAACAUUUCGUUAUUUCACUCGUCAUAUUGAAUCCGUUGAGGACUCGAGAGGCGGGCAUGAUCUGGUCGAGCAGUCCGAGCUGCUCCACCACCCUCGACCUGAUAAUGUUGGCCGAGCUACCUGGAUCCACCAGCACACAUUUAAUUUGAAAUGUAUUCACAAGAAAAAAAUUACCAAGGUAUAGUUAUGAGGUUGAGACAGGGUCUUGAUGUCCUCAUCGCUGAAUGUGAGAGCAUCUUUGGGUAUGUAGCCCUGAGUUCGCUUCUCCCUGGUGAUGGAUAUAUUUGUUCUUUUGACUAUGGGUUUCUGCGGGAUGUCGAUUCCUCCAAUGAUCAUGCGGAUGACAUGUUGUGGCUCAUCUGUUUCAUUCUUCCUGUUCGCCUCUCUUUCCCGGAACUGAUUUUUGGCUCGGUCGCUAAGGAACUCUUGGAGGUGCCCUUUGCUGAGUAGCCGGGAAACUUUUUCUCGGAGCUGACUGCAAUCUUUGUUCUUGUGACCGUGCGUGCCGUGAAAUUCGCACACUAAGUUGGGUUUCCUUUGCGACGGGUCUGAUAGUACAGGUCUUGGCCACCUGGUGUCUUUGAUUUUACCGAUGGCAGAUAAGAUGUCUGAAACGUCAAUGUUGAAGUUGUAUUCUGACAGGCGGGGUGCCUCCCUCGGUCUUGUGUGUCUAUCGAAUCCGACUCUACUCACGAGUCCCGAGGAUUCUGACCUCAGUCUGUUCUUCAAUCAUUCCAGGGUAUGUUACGCCUUGGGGCAUUUCUCCUAUCUUCGGUGUAUGGUUGGUACCUUUCCUUAUUUGGCUUUGGCUCCUUUUCUAGGAGUCUGCUUGGAUAUACUGAGCCCGAGGGGGCUCCUAGUUGGUCGUCCUUGACCCUAAUCUUCGAUUGAUAUUGGUUAUGGACAUCCGACCAAGUUAUGGCGGGGUAUUCAACCAAAUUCUGCUUCAGCUACUUCGAAGCCACCGAGCUUUGUUCAUUCAAGCCUUGGGUGAAGGCUUGCACUGCCCAAUCAUCGAAGACUGGUGUUAAUUCCAUUAGUUCCAUUUGAAAGUGAGAUACGAACUCCCGCAAUAUCUCUUUUUCUCUUUGUUUAAUUUUGAAGAUGUCGGAUUUCCUUGUAUCCACCUUGAUGGCACCGGCAUGUGCCUUUAUGAAAGAAUCUGCCAGCAUGGCAAAUGAGUCUAUUGAAUUCGGAACUAGGUUGUGAUACCACAUCAUGGCCCCUUUCGAGAGUGUUUCUCCGAACUUUUUCAGCAAAAUUAAUUCGAUCUCGUCGUCCCUCAGGUCGUUGCCCUUCAUCGCACAAGUGUAAGCAGUGACGUGCUCGUUGGGGUACAAGGUUCCAUUGUACUUCGGAAGAUCGGGCAUUCUGAAUUUCUUUAGAAUGGGCUUUGGAGCGGCAUUUGACGGGAAUGGCUUUUGUAUGAAUUUCUUUGAAUCAACACCCUUCAGGAUCGGGGGUGCGCCUGGGAUCUGGUCGACCCUUGAAUUGUAGGUUUCCACGUUUUUGUCGUUAGCUUAUAUCAUCUUUUCGCCCGAUUCAAUCCUCUUUGUGAGGUCCUCGAGCAUCUUCAUAGUAGGGGUCGACUGCUAAUCCGUUGUUAGUCGAUCUUUUCGGUACCUGUUCGGCUCGGGGAGCCAUUUCCGGCGCUGCUGUGCUCGGAGUUUUUUGGUGGCUUUGCAGUUGAGCAAUCACCGGCUGUUGUGCCUAUAACAUCUCAAAAAUAAUGUGAAGGCUAAUCUCUUGUUCUCCUCACGCUGGGAUUUCCUGAGCUUCUUGUUGGUUUUCUUGGCGUAUACUUCUGUCGGUGUGGGAGUUGAUGUCGAUAUGUUGAGCAUUGCGCGAGAUCACAUCUAUGGGAAUUUGUUUUGAUGCAUCUUCAGAGUUUCGUGGUGGUACACCAACACCUGGAACAGCUACACCAUUCUCUCCAUGGUCCUCCAGACCGUUGUUUUCAUGUGCGUUUACUAAGGUAGACAUUUUGACCUGAAAUCAAAGAUUCUUAGACAAGAAAAAACAUGAAAAAUAACUUGUAUUAUGUAGUAAACUAGAAAGAAAACAAUCACUAUUAUUUUUAGCCCCACGGUGGGCGCCAAACUAUUUACCUUGAAAAUAGUAAUUACAAUUAAAUUUGAUUUUGUGGUUCUAAAAAUACGUGAUUUAUUCCUAUGCUAGUUUUUAGGUAGUUGAUGCUAAGUGUGAGACUAGAAAAUGAGAUAAGAACUUGAAAGCAAUAUGUUUAGGCGAACCAAGUGGUUGAGAAUCGGGGCCACGAGCCAGGUUAUACGGGUCCUCGAGGUUGAGCUAGGUAUCAAGCUGUGGAUAGCCGAUGAAGGACUAACAGCUUUGAAAGCUUUGAUGAGAGCUCUUUAUGAUCAAUAAUGAGCAAUAAAUGAAGAACGAUUAAUGAAAUACAAUAAAUGUAAGCAAUAGAAUCAUUGGAGAAAGUGUUUAAGUUAGAGAUCAGAGAAUGUUCUUGUUCUUGUAUUGAAUGUUGUAUAUGUUAUCAUGUGUGCAAAAAUAACAAGGGUCCCCUUUAUAUGGCAGGGGCUAUCCCAAUAUAGUACAUGUGCAUUUAUUACAAAGAAAUGUAGUUGGUACAGCUACCUAGCAGUCUGAUACAGACGGGUACUAUUCUUGUAGGUUUUGUCGGUUUUAACCACGUCCCUAGGGAACUUCCCGUUUAUCCAUGAUGACCAUCGAUUUAAGCUGCCCCGAGGUCGGGCAUUCGAACCGUGCCCUGGGACUUCGAAGUGAAGCUACGGAGAGAUAUGAUGAUCGUAAAAUCAUGCUCUCCGAUUUUAUCCGUGUAAACUGCUCAAUAUCCUUCGUUGUAGAACUACCUGCAUCCAUUAAAGAUGCAGCGCCCCCGGCAAAAGGGACGUUAGUACGUGUCGAAUAGUACUAGUAAGAAAACCAAACACCUAAUCAAUAACUUGGAAAUACAACAUGAAUAUAAUGAGUCAGGUGACAAUAAAAUGCGGGUGGAAGUGCAAUCACAAUACCACAACUCUACUCAAGCGGCCCUACUGCCUCAUCCCAAUGUAUGCGGGUGGAGGUGUAACCGCAGUACCAAAACCUACACAAAGCGGGCCUGCCGCCUCACCCAAUAUAUACGGGUGAAGAUGGAAAAAUGAUACCAAUACGACACAAAGUGGACAUGCCUCCUCACCCCAAUAUAUAUGCAGGUGGUGGUGUAACAACAAUACUAAAAUCUCACACAAAACGGCCAUGCCGCCUCACCCUAAUAUAUACGGGUAGAGGUGUGAUCCCAAUCACAAUUUCUACACAAUUUGGCAUAAUAUUUCAUAUGAAACAUGACUUGGAGUCACAACAUGUAAAUACACAAACCAUAGUUUGGAACACAUCCUAAAUUAAUAGUAAAACAUAAUAAGAGCAUUUGAAACACGAAUUGAACAUAUCUCUGCGUCGCCAAGCUUAUUCGGAAUAAUCAAUUUGUAAUAAACAUCUUGUAACUUACAAGGGUAAUGUGGGGUUCAAUUCUUAAAUAAGAGUUUAGCCAACAUACCUCAAUUAAGCUUCCUUAAACUCUAAAAUGUUCCGGAAUUCUUAGCAAUUUUGAUCUAUUUUAGAAAUGUAACAAAUUGCACCAAAAUUAGGAAGAUGAUCAUGGUUCUAGCUCAUUUGAGCAUUUUAUCAAACACUAGGUGUACAUUAAGGUUUCAAAGUCCCUUUAUGGAGGAUUCCAUCAUCCCAUAACUCAUCCUAGUGAGUUUUCCUUGUUAAUCUUCCAUGAGUUGAGCAAGAAUUGAAUGACAAAUUGUUGAGGAACUCUCCCUCACUCUAGGGCACUCUCUCACUCUAAAAAAUAUCAGAUUUUGCAAGAAAUAUUGUCCAUUGCCUCUAUUUAACGAUUUAGGGUCGUGUUAUAAAAUCCCAAAAAUGAAGCUCCGGAACAGGAUCUGCAGUCGCAUAUGCAACCGCAUAAUGCUUCUGCGGACCGCAAAAUGGGUCGCAAAAUGGCCCUCCGGAACUGGGCAAAACUGACUGGGUUUGCGGUCACUAUGCAGCCUGCAGACUUGUUCUGCGGUCUCACAAUGCACCGCAGACCUGUUCUGCAGUGGCAUAGUCAAUCACAAAAGGGCAUCCAAACUUGCUAAUUUUUGCCUCACUCUGUGGCCAUUAUGCCGCCCGUAGAGUGGUUUUGCGGUCACAUAGUGGACCGCAGAAAUGUCUGGUUCUAAAAUAUUACUUUUACUCCCUAACGUAUUGUUCAACCCAAAAUAUUCGUACCAUUGCGACCAAGAAUCUCAACAAUCAUGAACAUGUAAGUCUAUCGCAGCACCGCAAGAUCCCCGAUUUUAGGUACAAUUUUACAGGGCCUUACAUCCUCCCCUAUUUAAGAUCAUUCAUCCUCGAAUGAGGGUAAAAGUUCACUAUUAGCACCCAAUGAGUCUCAGUUGCUUCAUUACACUUUUAACGGUCUCAAAUUUUGACUAACUCCCUAAAUUUCCAAAACCUUUGCCAGAAUUUCCCCUGUAACUGGGCAUAUCAACCUUCUAGAGAAUCCCAAAAACAAAUCCUAUCAACAUAUACAUAAUCCAUUGAUGUAACAUAAUACAAAAUAACACCAAUUAUGGCCUCAUAAGCAACAUAUAACCAGAAUGGAGUACCUUUACCCCCAACUAUACAAGAGAUACACAAUUCAUAGGUGACAGUUUCAUAGAAAUAUUACAUAGAUAUUCAAACAAAUAAGGAUACUUCUUCUUCAUCUCUUCCUCGACCUCCCAAGUAGCCUCUUCAACAUAUUGGUUUCGCCAUAACACUUUCACGGAGGCAAUUUAUUUAUUUCUCAGUUUUCGGACUUGCUUAUCAAGAAUGGCAAUAGGGAUUUCUUCAUAGGUCAGUUCUUCGUUAACCUCAAUAGUCUCAAUUGCACAACAAGCGACGGAUCUCCGACUACCUUCUUCAACAUAGACACAUGAAAUAACGGGUGCACUAAUGAUAUCUCAGGUGGUAGCUCCAGCUUGUACGCCACCUGACCAAUUCUCUGAAUGAUUUUGUACGGCCCGAUAUACCUCAGGCUCAAUUUUCCUUUUUUACUAAACCGCAUUAUACCCUUCAUGGGGUAAAGCUUCAAGAAUACCCAGUCAUAUUCUUUGAACUCCAAAUCCCUGUGACGAACAUCCAAAUAGGACUUCUAACGACUCUGAGCAGUCUUCAACCGCUCUUUAAUGAUCUUAACCUUCUCCAUAGCCUGAUGCACGAGGUCCAGCCUAUCAAUUCUGCUUCUCUAAUCUCGAACCACCCAAUGGGAGAUCUACAUUUCCUACCAUAUAACGCCUCGAAUGGUUCCAUCUGAAUACUAGCAUGAUAACUGUUAUUGUAGGAAAAUUCUAUGAGUGGCAAAUGAUCAUCCCAACUACACUUGAAAUCAAGAACACAAGCACGCAACAUAUCCUAAAGCGUCUGAAUAGUCCACUCUACCUGCUCGUCGGUCUGUGGAUGAAAAGCUUUACUAAUAUUCACCUGAGUACCCAAACCUUGCUAAAUUUUCUUCCAAAAAUUAGCCAUGAAUUGUGCCCCUCGAUCAGAAAUGAUAGAAACUGGAGUUCCAUGCAACCUUACUAUUUCCUUGAUAUACAACUGAGCAUAUUGUUCUGCUGUGUUAGUAAAUUAAAUUGGCAAGAAGUGUGUUGAUUUCGUGAGUCGAUCCACAAUCACCCAAGCUGAGUCAAACUUGCACGGAGUGUGCGGCAGUCCUACCACAAAGUUCAUAUUAAUCAUUUCUCAUUUCCACAUUGUAAUUUGUAUAUUCUAUGCCAACCCACCAGGCCGUUGGUGUUCGGCCUUUACCUGCUGACAAUUUGAACAUCUUGCCACAAAGUCCACCACAUUCAUCUUCAUGUCAUUCUACCAAUAAAUGUCCUUGAGAUCAUGAUAAAUCUUUGUAGAGCUCGGAUGCACGGAAUACCUAGAAGUGUGAGCCUCGGUCAUGAUUCUUUUCGGAGACCAUCUAUAUUUGGGACACAUAAUCUCCCUUGGUACCUUAGUGUAGCAUCAUCCAUGCCAAGAGAAAAAGCCAUAGACUUAUGUUUAUGAAUCCCCUCUUUCAAUUGUACCAACAAUGGAUCGUUGUAUUGCUUCUCUUUGACUUCCACAACAAGCGAUGAUUCAACCCUAUUUUACACAAUUACCCCUCCUUCAUUAGAGUCCACAAGACGAACUCCCAAACUAGCCAACAAAUGAACCUUCUUGGCCAAGUCUUUGAUAUGCCUCCAGGUGAGCCAAACUACACAUGGAUUUUCGGCUAAGAGCAUCCGCCAAAACAGUGGCCUUUCCCAGGUAAUACAGGAUAUUGAUGUCGUAAUCUUUGAGUAACUCAAGGCAUUUUCUCUGCCUCAGAUUCAGAUCCUUCUGUUUGAAAAUAUAUUGAGGCUCUUAUGGUCCGUGAAUAUAUCUACAUGGAACCCAUAUAGAUAAUGAUACCAAAUUUUCAAUGCAAAUACCACCGCUACAAGUUCUAAGUCAUUUGUUAGAUAGUUCUUUUCAUGAUUCUUGAGUUGCCUAGAAGCAUAAGAUAUCACCUUGUCGUGUUGCAUCAAUACACACCCAAUCCCGAUCCUUGAAGCCUCACUAUAAACCACAAACCCAUAUGUACCCUCUGGUAGGGUCAACACUAGCGUCGUAGUCAAUCUUGAUUUCAGUUCCUGGAAGCUCCCUUCACAAGCAUCAGACCAUUGAAAUUGAAUUGCCUUUUACGUCAAUUUAGUCAACGAAGAGGCAAGAGUAGAGAACCCCUCCACAAACUUUAUGUAAUACUCAGCUAAGCCUAAGAAACUGCGAAUCUCUGCUGGAGUUGUAAGUCUAGGUCAAUUUUUCACAGCUGCAAUCUUCUGAGGAUCAACCUUAGUUCCUUCUUUGGAGACAACAUGACCCAAGAACGUGACAGAUUCAAGCCAGAAUUCACAUUUUGAAAACUUUGCAUACAACUUGUGCUAAUUUAGAGUUUGCAAAACUGCCCUGAGAUGAAUUGCAUAGUCCUCUCGACUCCAUGAAUAUACAGGAAUAUAGGAAAUGAACACUAUCACAAAGGAGUCAAGAAAAGGCUUGAAGACUCGAUUCAUAAGAUCCAUGAAAGUCGUCAGGGCAUUCGUUAGCCCAAAAGACAUCACUAAAAAUUGAAAGUGCCCAUACCAUGUUCUAAAAGCUAUUUUCGGAAUAUCCUGCUCCCUAAUCUUCAAUCGGUGAUACCCGGAUCAUAAAUUAAUUUUAGAGAAGUACCUAGCACCCUGUAAUUGAUCAAACAAGUCAUCUAUCUUUGGUAGUGGGUACUUAUUUUUUAUUGUGACUUUGUUGAGCUGUCGAUAGUCAAUACACAUCUGUAAUGACCCAUCUUUCUUUAUUAUAAAGAGAACUAGUGCGCCCCAAGGCGACACACUCGAUCGAAUGAAACCCUUCUCUAAAAACUGCUUCAAUUGUUCCUUUAGUUCCUCCAAUUCUAUCAGUGUCAUUCUGUACGGUGGAAUAGAUAUAGGUUGCGUGUCUGGCAUCACAUCAACCUUGAAGUCAAUCUUCCUAUCUUGUGGGAUCCCGGGGAGUUCAUCCGGAAAGACCUCCUGAAAUUCAUUCACAACCGGCACAGACUCAAGUGUAGGUGCCUCAACAUCGGUGUCCAUAACCCGAACCAAAUGGUAGAUACACCCUUUGUUGAUCAUCUUUGUGGCCUUAGGCUAAGAAAUAAAUCUACCCUUCGGCACCAUUCGAAUCUAACGGUUCUAGUUCGGCAAUCAAGAUUGGCAAAACAUGAAUAAAGCCAGUCCAUCCCCAUGAUUACAUCAAAAUCAACCAUCCCCAAUUCGAUAAGAUCAGCCAUGGUGUCCCAACCACGCAGCAUGACAACACAAUCCCUAUAAACCCGUGAAGCCACAAUAGACUUACCAACUAGAGUAGAUAUAGAUAACGGCUCAUAAAGUUUCCGGUUCUAUCCCAAAUACCACAGUAACAUAAGGGAUGACAUAGGACAAAGUGGAACCGGGAUUAAUAAGAGCAUACACAUCAUGAGACCGGACAGUCAAUAUACCUGUGACAUCUGGAGAGGCCUUUGAAUCCCGACACCUCCACAUAGCAUAAAAUCUAUUGAGCCCUUCCAAGUUUUGGGUACCACCCCUAACUGUAUCACGCCCUGUGGGUGCUAGAGUGCCUCGAGUUGGAGGAGGUGUUGCAGAAGUUGUAGUUCCAGAACUAGCUGGCUGCAUCGCACCCCUGCCCAUGGUCUGGCAAGACGAGCAGCAAUCCCUCUGAAUGUGACCCCUCAUACCCCAUUAAUAGCAUAAAGGUAGGUCCAGGAAACAGACCCCAAAGUGCAUCCUCCCACACUUGGGGCAUGGGGGCCUUCGCUGCUGCUGGAAUCUCCCUCUAGAUUGACCGUGCUGGUAGGGCCCCCUGUUUCCCUGAUUGGGCCAAAUACUCCACUACUGCUGAUUGGGCCCUAAUGGUUGUGCACUCAUCGAAGACUGAGCGAACGACUGAGAUGGACCUGAUGACCCUCCCCUAAAUGCCGACCUACUACCACUACCACGGGAAGAACCACCAAAGUUGCUCGCGGACCGAGCCUUAUUGCUACCUUCACGCUCCAUUCUAUUUUUCAAUUUACGAUUCUCUGUAGCUUGAACACCACCAUCUUACCAUAGUUCAUAUCAAAAUUCAAGGCAACUGUCGCAACCUCAUUGAUAACCAAGGGGUUAAGGCCCUGCACAAACCGGCGGACACUAGCCUCCUUAGUGGGCAACAUGUGAAUAGCAUACUUGGACAGCCGCGCAAACUCCAUUUGGUAAUUUCACACACUCAUGCUCCCCUAUUUCAAGUUCUUAAACUCAGUGGCACGAGCCACCUUGGUCUCAGCACGCAAGAAAUGAUCCAUGAAGGCAUCGGUGAACUCACUCCACCUUACCGGAGGGCUCCCCUUAUCACGGAAUUCCGCCCACAACUCAAACCAAGAAUAGGUCACCCUUUUCAAGCGGUAGGAGGCCAACUCCACUCCCUCCGUCUCAGUAGCAUGCAUAACCCGAAGAGUCCUGUGCAUCUCAUCAAUGAAGUCAUGGGGGUCCUCCUUGGGAUUAGUACCCGAGAACACUGGAGGAUCUAACUAAAGGAAAUUGUUCACCCUAGAACUAGCAAAUUCUCCUAGCUGACUAGAAGAAGUAGGCCCCACACUCGAUCUCUAGGCCUGAGAAGCCACUAUCUGUGCCAACAUUUGUAUGGCUCCCCUAAGAUCCCAUUGGAAACACCGGGUCCGAAAGCUGGGGCUAAUGGUGGAAUCGGAAUAUCAGUUGGAGGAUUCGUUGCACCCUCAUCGGGUGUAGGAACUGGUGCAUCCUGAAUAAGAAUAGUAGGAUCAGGCAGUGUAGUAAUUGGGGGAAUAUCCUCGUCCCUCGGGUUUUCACCCGCAUCAUCAAUUAUAGAAUCAACCACCACUCCUGGGGUCAUUGGCUCCUUGGCCAGUUCUUGCCUUCUUCCUAGGCGCCAUUUACUAAAAGUUAGAGCAAUGCUCGAGUUAAAGGAGGAACAAUCUUACAGUCAGCUUUAUCGCAUUAUGAAGAACAUCAAAGAAGGGUAUUAUUCCUAAAUGUCCAAGUAGACUCCUAAUUAUAGAUGUUGUUAAAAAUACACCAAUAUGGACUCUACUAGACAUGGCUCCAAGACACCCUAGGACACAUUAAAACCUUAGGCUUUGAUACCAAGUUUGUCACGCCUCAGAAUCGGGGAGCGCGACCGACGCUCAAACGAGUGAACUCGGUCAAGCAAGCAUGUUGAAUGCUUUCUACCCAACUCACCCAUGAUUUAAAGAGAAUGCAUACCUUGUAAAUUGACCAACAAGGAGAUCAUGUAGACAAUACCAAUUAUACAACCAUUAGUUACUUCAUUUAAUAAGUCUCCAAAAUAAUAUGUUUCAUAACCAUAGUUUAGCAAUAGGAGCAUGUGAUACAAUUACGACAUCUUUAGUUCAACUUUUCCCACACCAAUACACAACCCACACUAUGUCUACGGAGCCUCUAAAGAUACCAAAGAAUACAAUGAUAGUGCCAACAACAAGGCUACAGCUAUACAUUAAACAUGAUAAUACAUACUAAACAAAAGAUGGACAACUCCAAAAUAAGAUGGGGCUCACCAAGUCAGCUGGGAAAAAUGAUCACCGCUAUUACCGGUCAAUAUCCUCUGUUGUGGAACCACAUGCAUCCAUGGAAAAAGGGACGUUAGUACAUGUCAAAUAGUACUAGUAUGAAAAUCAAACACCUAAUCAAGAACUUUGAAAUACAACAUGAAUAUAAUGAAUCAGGGUGACAAUAGAAUAGCAUAGAUAGCCAUUGAAACCAAAGCAAAUUUAUCAAGAGUUGUCAAUAAUAUUUAUAAAUUUUAAGACGGAAUCCUUUGUAACCAUCUUUACACAAAGCGGCCCUGCCGCCUCACCCCAAUAUAUGCAGGUGGAGGUGCAAGCAUAAAACCACAACUCUGCUCAAGCGGCCCUGCCGCCUCACCCCAAUAUAUGGGGGUGGAGGUGUAACCAUAGUACCAAAACCUACACAAAGCAGCCAUGCCACCUCACCCCAAUAUAUACGGGUGGAGGUGUAACAACGAUACCAAUAUGACAUAAAGCGUCCAUGCCACCUCUCCAAUAUAUACGCGGGUGGUGGUAUAACAACAAUACCAAAAUCCCACACAAAGCGGCCCUGCUGCCUCACCCCAAUAUAUAAGGGAGGAGGUGUAAUCUCAAUCACAAUCUCUACAUGGCAUAAUAACUUUCAUAUGAAACACGACUUGGAGUCACAACAUGUAAAUAUACAAUCUAUAGCUUGGAACACAUCCUCAAUUAAUAGUACAACAUAAUAAGAGUAUUUGAAACACGGAUUGAACAUAUAUCUUUGUUGCCAAGCUUAUUUGGAAUAAUCGAUUUGGAAUAAACAUCUUGGAACUUACAAGGGUAAUGUGGGGUUCAAUUCUUAAAUAAGAGUUUAGCCAACAUACCUCAAUUGAGCUUCCUUAAACUCUAAAAUAUUCCGGAAUUCUUAGCAACUUUGAUCUAUUUUAGAAAUGUAACAAAUUGCACCAAAAGUAGGAAGAUGAUCAUGGUUCUAGCUUAUUUGAGCAUUUUAUCAAAUACUAGGUGUGCAUUAAGGUUUCAAGGUCCCUUUAUGGAGGAUUCCAUCAUCCCAUAACCCAUUCUUUAUUAUUUUUAGCUCAACAAUCUUCCUACACCCUUUGAUAGCACAUGCAUGUAAAAUAAACAACUCUUAUGCCCAAUUAUUAUCUUGCUAAUCACCCAUAUUAGAUAAAAUUCAAAAUUAAUGGCUAGGGUGUAGAAUCUUUCCUUUUGGUUGAAGACCUAGUAAGUUUUCCUUGUUAAUCUUUUUGUGAUGACAAGCAUAGGAAUAUGGAAGUGGAGGAAAUUGAGCAUGGUCAAAAUGGAGAGUUCAAGCCCAUGUGAAAUGCCUACUUGAAGGAGGAAACAAAAAGCAAAAUGCCUUGGAGGAGCUUUUGAAAAAUAGUCUCCAAAAUAAUUUGGCGCUUAAAAGAUUGAACUUACAAAUGAGAGAAAUGCUUUAAGCUUUAGAGGUCCAAAAAGCCUCGGAAGUGAUAAUAGCCAAAAACCUUCCUUAGAGGUUGAAGCCGAAAAUCCUUCCUUGGCACUUGAUCAAAACCAAGAAGAACUCUCAAAUGCUCAAAAUGAGAGGUUGCUGCUCAUGUUGGAGGUCAUUCUUGAAAAUGAGGAGAAGCACAACUUGGCACUCGGCGACAUAAAACAAGCACUAAAUCGAAAUGAUGAGACUAUUCAGACUAUGGAAGAUCAAAUGAAAUCAUUGGUUGAGGAUCAUUAUGCCCACCAACUUGAGAGUGUGGAAAGAGUUCCAUAAAUGUCCUACUUCAAGGAAGAAAGUGAGCUUCAUGUUGAGGAAUCAAGAAUUUGUAAGGCCCCAUAAAAUUGUACCUAAAACCCGGGAUCUCGCAGUGCUGAGGUAGACUUACGUGUUCAUGAUUGUUGAGACAAGCUUGUCACGGUAUAGACUUUUUGGGUUGAACAGUGUGCUGGGGAUUAAAGGAAAUCUUUUUGGGCAGAACCAAGCAUUUCUGCGGUCCACUAUCCGACCAGAAAACCACUCUACAAGCCGCAUAAUGGUCGCAGAGUGGGGCAGAAAUUGGGCAAGUUUGGAUGCCCCUUUGCGGUCGACUAUGCGACCACAGAACAGGUCUGCAGUGGAUUGUGGGACCGCAAAACAAGUCUGCGGGCCGCAUAGUGACCACAAACCCAGUCAGUUUUGCCCAGUUUCAGAGGGCCAAUAUGCGACCCAUUUUACGGUCGGUAGAAGCAUUAUGCGGUCGCAUAUCCUGUUCCGAAACUUCAUUUUGGGGUUUUUAUAACCCGACCCUACAUCGUUAAAUAGAUGCAAUGGACUAUAUUUCUUGCAAAAUCUGAUAUUUUUUAGAGAGUGAGAGAGUGCCCUAGAGUGAGGGAGAGUUCCUCAACAAUUUGUCCUUCAAUUCUUGCUUAAAGUCAUCAGAAUACCCUGCAAAUCUCGCCCUCUUAUGCUGGCCCCUAUCCUACUCCCUAACUGCCCUCUGCUGGCGCUUACGAUCCUCUAGGGUCUGGGCAUAAGCUUGAAUACGGGAAAUAUCCAUGUCCUCUACCAAGGAGGCUGUCGUACACUCAUUUAUCAGAUGUGGUCCCAACCCAUUCACGAACAUAUGCACCCUAUCACUCAUCUCGGCCACCAAAUGGGGAGCAUACCUUGCCAAAGAAUCAAACUGUAUACUGUACUCUCGCACACUCAUAUUACCUUGUCUAAGGUUCAAGAACUUAUCAGCUCUAGCUCGUCGUAUCUCAACUGGCAAGUAGUGACGAAGAAAGGCCUCAGAAAAUUCCUUCCACACAGCUGGAGUAGCGUUCAGACCCCCUGUUCUCUCCCAACUAUCAUACCAGAUAACUGCUAAAUCCCGUAGCCGAUAAGAAGCCAUAUCUACUGCCUCUGUAUCACUAACAUGAAUAACCUGAAGUGUACAAUGAACCUGGUCAAUAAAAGUCUGUGGGUCCUCCUUGGGGUCUGAUCCGGUAAACACUAGAGGGUCUAAAUUAAUAAAAUCACGAACUUUUGUACUAACUGGUUUCUCAGCAGCACCUGUAUUCUGCCUCUGAGCCUGAGCAGCUACCAAGCUAGUCAAUAACUGCAAAGCACUCCGCAUAUCCUGGUCUGGAGUGCCAGACGGAGGAACUGGAGGCGCUGGGUGUCUUCUAAUAUCCUCUGGAGGAGAUGGAGUAGAUGAGGUAUGAGAGGGCAUCUCACUUUGAGCCUCACUUUGUCUUGCUCUGACUUGGGGAACCUGACUGGUACCCUCUCCCGCUGCUGUAUCAAGCCGUCUACUAAUCGUUUUCUUCCUAUUCGAAGGCAUCACUGAAAAAACAAGGUGAAUAUUAGAGACGAACACUUACGACUCAACUCUACGCACGAUCUAGAUUCAGGAAGAAGGUAACAACCCUAGAUGUCAUGUAGCCUCCUGAUUAUAAUUGUGGCGCGCUACAGAUCCAUAAUCAAGACUCUACUAGACANNNNNNNNNNNNNNNNNNNNNNNNNNNNNNNNNNNNNNNNNNNNNNNNNNNNNNNNNNNNNNNNNNNNNNNNNNNNNNNNNNNNNNNNNNNNNNNNNNNNNNNNNNNNNNNNNNNNNNNNNNNNNNNNNNNNNNNNNNNNNNNNNNNNNNNNNNNNNNNNNNNNNNNNNNNNNNNNNNNNNNNNNNNNNNNNNNNNNNNNNNNNNNNNNNNNNNNNNNNNNNNNNNNNNNNNNNNNNNNNNNNNNNNNNNNNNNNNNNNNNNNNNNNNNNNNNNNNNNNNNNNNNNNNNNNNNNNNNNNNNNNNNNNNNNNNNNNNNNNNNNNNNNNNNNNNNNNNNNNNNNNNNNNNNNNNNNNNNNNNNNNNNNNNNNNNNNNNNNNNNNNNNNNNNNNNNNNNNNNNNNNNNNNNNNNNNNNNNNNNNNNNNNNNNNNNNNNNNNNNNNNNNNNNNNNNNNNNNNNNNNNNNNNNNNNNNNNNNNNNNNNNNNNNNNNNNNNNNNNNNNNNNNNNNNNNNNNNNNNNNNNNNNNNNNNNNNNNNNNNNNNNNNNNNNNNNNNNNNNNNNNNNNNNNNNNNNNNNNNNNNNNNNNNNNNNNNNNNNNNNNNNNNNNNNNNNNNNNNNNNNNNNNNNNNNNNNNNNNNNNNNNNNNNNNNNNNNNNNNNNNNNNNNNNNNNNNNNNNNNNNNNNNNNNNNNNNNNNNNNNNNNNNNNNNNNNNNNNNNNNNNNNNNNNNNNNNNNNNNNNNNNNNNNNNNNNNNNNNNNNNNNNNNNNNNNNNNNNNNNNNNNNNNNNNNNNNNNNNNNNNNNNNNNNNNNNNNNNNNNNNNNNNNNNNNNNNNNNNNNNNNNNNNNNNNNNNNNNNNNNNNNNNNNNNNNNNNNNNNNNNNNNNNNNNNNNNNNNNNNNNNNNNNNNNNNNNNNNNNNNNNNNNNNNNNNNNNNNNNNNNNNNNNNNNNNNNNNNNNNNNNNNNNNNNNNNNNNNNNNNNNNNNNNNNNNNNNNNNNNNNNNNNNNNNNNNNNNNNNNNNNNNNNNNNNNNNNNNNNNNNNNNNNNNNNNNNNNNNNNNNNNNGCUGCAACAGAGCCGGAACAGGGCCCCGAUAUACCCAUAAUGUCUAUAACAAAAAUGCAUACCAAUACCAAGGCAAGUCCGGAGAAGGGAUCUCGCCAACCACCGCUGAACUGGACAGUCUACUAUAGUGGGGGAGCUGCACCUGCCUGUCUAUCAGGACCUGCAGCACGACAUGCAGCGUCCACAAAUAAAAGGACGUCAGUACGAAUAAAGUACUGAGUAUGUAAGGCAGGGAACCAUAAAUACUAUCAGUAAUGUAAGCAAGUAUAGAGAAUAGGAUCUUCAUAUAAUCGAUCACAAACACAUUAAGAUAGGUCCUAGAUAUAGUAUUCAUGAGAUCUAUAAAUGUUUCUAGGGAAUUUGUUAGCUCGAACGACAUCACCAAGAACUUAAAGUGCCCAUAUCUUGUCCGGAAGGCCGUCUUUGGAAUAUUCUUCUCCUUAACCCUCACAUGAUGAUACCCUGAACGUAAGUCAAUCUUGGAGAAAUACUUGGCACCCUGGAGUUGGUCAAACAGGUCGUCAAUCCUUGGAAGUGGAUACUUGUUCUUUAUAGUAAACUUAUUCAACUAUCGAUAAUCGAUACACAUCCUUAACAACUUGUCUUUCUUUCGCACGAACAAAACUGGCUCACCCUAAGGUGAAGUGCUAGGCCUAAUGAAUCCUUUAUCCAGCAAGUCUUUUAAUUGUGCAUUCAACUCUCACAACUCAGUCGGGGCCAUAUUGUAUGGAGGAAUAUAUAUGGGUUGAGUGUCAGGCAACACAUCAAUGCUAAACUCAAUCUCCCUUUCAGGAGGAAGGCUUGGGAGUUCAUCUGGGAAAACAUCUGGGAAUUCAUUUACCACAAGGAUUGAUUGUAGAGUAGGCAGCUUCUCUUCCGCAUCCCUAGCAAGAUGAUAAAUAUAACUUUUUGAGAUCAUCUUUCUUGCCUUAGGAUAGUAAAUAAACUACCUUUCGGCGUAGCAAUGUUCCCAUUCCAUUCAAUGACGGGUUCACCAGGAAACUAAAACAUAACCAUCUUCGUACGACAGUCAACAUUUGCAUAGCAUGAGGCCAACCAGUCCAUUCCCAUUAUCACAUUGAAAUCAACCAUUUCUAACUCAAAUAAAUUCAUCGAGGUUUGACGACUACAAAUCAUCACUAUGAAACCUCUAUAUACCCUCCUAGAAAUCACCGAAUCUCAUAUCGGAGUAGAUACCACAAGUGGUUUACUUAUCAAUUCAGGUUCAGCGCCAAACUUAUUUGCCACAAAGGGUGUAACAUAUGAUAAUUUUAUAUUCCGGAUCAAUCAAUGCGUAUACAUUGUAAGAAAACACAGACAAUAUACCUGUAAUAACAUCCGAAGACAACUCGAGAUCCUGUUGACCUACUAGAGCAAAUGUUCGAUUUUGAGCACCACUCGAACUUGGCACUGCACCUCUACCUCUACCACGACCUAUCGAUUUCUGAAAACCCUGUGCUGGAGGUCAAACUGAUGAGGAAGAACUAGACAUAGAUCCAGUUGGCUGAGCCAUACCACCACCUCCUCUGUUAGGACAAUCCCGUAUCAUAUGCCCGGGCUGUCCGCAAGAAUAGCACGCAUUAGAGCCUCGAUGGCACAGUCCAAAGUGGGCCUUUCCGCACUGAUCACAAUGUGUUAUUGGGGGUCUCGUCUGACUAGGUUCCCUGUGAUAUUGCGAGCAUGAUGCCCGCGAACUCUGACCUGGACCAGAAUAGGUAAAUCGAUCAUAUCGAGGCCUCUAAAACUGUGGAGGAGCACUAGCUAUAGGUGGCGCCAAACUCCUCGAAGACUAGGGCCUGACACUAACUCUGAAGUCAUCAGAAUACCCUGCAAAUCUCACCCUCUUAUUCAGGCCCCUAUCCUACUCCUUAUCUGCCCUUUGAUGGCGCUUACGAUCCUCUAGGGUCUGGGCAUAAUCCUGAAUACAGGAAAUAUCCAUGCCCUCUACCAAGGAGGUUGUUAUGCACUCAUUUAUCAGAUGUGGUCCCAACCUGUUCACGAACAGAUGUACCCUAUCGCUUAUCUUGGCCACCAUAUGGGGAGCAUACCUUGCUAAAGAAUCAAACAACAUAUUAUACUCUUGCAUACUCAUAUUACCUUGUCGAAGGUUCAAGAUCUUAUCAGGUCUAGCUCGUCGUAUCUCAACUGGCAAGUAGUGGCGAAGAAAGGCCUCAGAAACUUCCUUCCACACAGUUGGAGGACCGUUCGGACCCCUAGAUCUCUCCCAACUAUCAUACCAGAAAAUCGCUAAAUCCUGUAACCGAUAAUAAUCUAACUCUACUGCCUCUGUAUCAAUAGCAUGCAUAACCCACAGUGUAUGAUGAACAUGAUCAAUAAAAGUAUGUGGGUCCUCCUUGGGGUCUGAUCCGGUAAACACUGGAGGGUCUAGAUUAAUAAAAUCACAAACUCUCGUACUAGCCAGUUUCUCAACAACGCCGGUAUUCUGCCUCUGAGCCUGAGCAGCUACCAAGCUAGUCAACAACCGCACUGCACUCUGCAUCUCUUAGUGUGUAGUGCCAAACGACAGAACUAGUGGUGUUGGGUGCCUCCUAAUAUCCUCUUGAGGAGAUGGAGUAGAUGAGGUAUGAGAUGGUAUCUCACUCUGAGCCUCAUUUUGGCUUGCUCUGGCUUGAGGAACCUGAUUGGUACCCUCCCCCACAGCUGUAUCAAGUGGUCUACUGAUCGGUUGCUUCCUAGUCGAAGUCAUCACUAAAAGAAAAUAAGGUGAAUAUUAGAGACAAACACUUACGACCCAACUCUACGCACGAUCUAGAUUUAGGAAGAAGGUAACAACCCUAGAUGUCAUGUAGCCUCCUAAUUAUAAAUGUGGCAUGCUACACAUCCAUAAUCAAGACUCUACUAGACACGGCUCAUAGACAACCCCUAGGAUAGACUUGCUCUGAUACCAAGUUUUUCACAACCCAAAUUGGAGGAUCAUGACUAGCACCCGAGUCAUACUUGCCGAGCACCAAUGUACAUUUUAUCUAACCUUCCUUAUUAUCUUUAAGGGCCGGCGAGAUCAUUAUAAAUGGUAGAUAUAAAUCAUGAACAACAAAUAAUGAAAGAUAAUGGCAUAAACAUACAUAACAUAGGAUGACAAGACUGCCAAGAAACUACAUAUAAGGUACGAGCUACCAUGCUCCCAUGAAAGACUAUACAACAAAAAUUAGCCGACAAGGCAUACCAAACUAUACAUGAGUUGACCCAUGUCUAUGAGCCUCUAAAAGAGCAAAAGGGCUGGAAUAGUGCCGGAACAGGGCCCCGACAUACCCAUAAUAUUUAUAACAAAAAUGCAUACCAAGACCAUGGCAAGUCCGGAGAAGGGAUCUCGCCAAUAACCGUUGAACUAGAAAGCCUAUUGUGGCGGGGGAGCUGCGUCCACCUAUCUAUCAGGACCUGCAGCACGACAUGUAGUAUCCACAAAUAUAAAGGAUGUCAGUACGAAUAAAGUACUAAGUAUGUAAGGCAGGAAAGCAUAAUUAAGAAUAGUAAUGUACACAGGGAUAGAGAAUAUAUAACCUGUAAAAUCUGGAUACCUCUAAGGACUACUGUGACGACCCGGCCAGUCGUCUCAUGAGUUACCGCUCUGUUUUCCCCAUUUCUGCUUCUUAUUGCUUUGCCUAUCAGUUGUAUAUGUGAUCGGGUUGGUUGGCUCGGGUUCAGAAAGGAUUUGGUAAGGUUUGAGACACUUAGUCUCUUUUGAGGAAGCUUAAGUUGAAAAAGUCAACCGGAUGUUGACUUAUGUGUUAGAGGGAUCAGAUGUGAAUUCUGAUGGUUUGGAUAGCUUUGGGAGGUGAUUUGGUACUUAGGAACGUGAUCGGAAUGUNNNNNNNNNNNNNNNNNNNNNNNNNUGGUGAGAUUUUGAUAUAGUGGUCGGAAUGGAAUUCUGAGAGUUGCAGUAGUUUUUUUGUGUCAUUUGGGAUGUGUGUGCAAAACUUUAGGUCAUUCGGACAUGGUUUGCUUGGGUUUUUUUUAUCAAAAGCGUAAUUUAGAAGACUUUGGAAUUCUUAGGCUUGAAUCUGAUGCGAAUUUGGUAUUUUGAUGUUGUUUCAAGCAUUACGAAGAUUGAAAUAGGUUUGAAUGAUGUUAUGGGAUAUGUUGGCAUGUUUGAUUGAGGUCUCGAGGGCCUCGGGUGAGUUUCGAGUGGUCAAUCGGAUCAUUUCUUGAUGUUGAGAGUUGCAGAAAUUUUUGUUCAGUGUUGCAGAGAAAUGGCCUUUGCGUUCACAAGGAAGGCUCCGCGUUCGCAAAGGGUUGAGUGAUCGAGCAUCACGUUCGCAAGGGAAGCUCCACGUUCGCGUAGAGGCAAUUGGCCAGCUGGUUUUGAGGUCGAGUUGUUCAUUGCGUUCACGAGAGAGGGGGUGCGUUCGCGAAGAGUUGUCUGAGGAAGCAUCGCAUUUGCGAUGGGUAGGUCGUGAUCACGAAGAGGAAAUUUUGGUCAAAUCUGAUUUGUGCUUCGCAAACACGAGGCUUUGACUGCAUUCGCGAAGAAGGAAAUGAGGCCUGGAUAGAAUGUUUAAAAGCGAUUUUGGGGUUUAUUUCCACCAUUUUUGAGCGUUUUUGGAGCUUCUGAAGAGGAUUAAAGAGGGAUUCAAGGGGAAUCACUUGGAGGUAAGAUUCAUGGACUUAAAACUUGAUUCUAAUGUGAAAUAUACCUUAUUAAUCAUGGAAAUUAAGCCUAAAAUUGAAGAACUAGGGCUUGAAAUUGGAGACAUAGAAUUUGGGAUUUGAGAGGUCGUUUAUGGUUGGAUUUUGAUGCUUUUGGUAUGAAUGAACUCAGGGAGUGAUAAGGAAUCUAUUGAUGUGAUUUUUAUCAGAAUAUGAGACGUGGGUCCGGGGGUCGUGUUUUGGUAAUUUCGGGAUUUAUGUUGUAAAUUGAUUAUUUUCGCUUGGGCUUCGUUCCCUUAGCAUAUUUUGAUGUCGUGAUUCUGAUUUUGGAUACAUUCGACACGGGUGGAGGCCGAUUCGAGAGGCAAAGACGUCGCGGGCUAGAGUUUGGACCGGAUUGAGGUGAGUAAUGAUUGUAAAUGAUGUCUUGAGGGUAUGAAACCUCGGAUUGCACAUCGUUGUGCUACAUUGCGGUGACGCACAUGCUUGAUGAUAAGCGUAGGGUCGUGCACUAUUGGGGAUUAUGACUUAGUCCAUCCCGAAUGACUAUUUUAUCGCGUAUUUGACUGAAAACUAUUUGCUAUCAUCAUGUUUUGGGCUGAAUGCCAUAUUUGGGCCUCGUGCCAACUAUAUGAACCCUUAGGGGAUUUUUACUGAUAUUUCCUCACUGUUUUGACUUUAUACUUGAACUCAGUCAUGCUAUAUUCUACUAUUUUUGUAACUCAACCAUGUUUACUCUGCUUUAACACUUAAAUGAGAUUUUGGGCUGAGCAUCAUGUUUUACUGUUGCCCGAGUGGCUUGUGAGAAUUUUGACUGAGUAAGGACGAGGGCCUAUGUUGUGAGGAAACACCUGAUUAUGAUUUUGAGGCCGAGGGUCUGAGAUUUGUAUGCCACGAGGUGGCUUGUUGAUAUGAGGUUGAGGGCCUAGUGAUGAUGCCACAAGAUGGCUUGAUAUUGCGCUUGGUCCGUAAGGGGCCCCUCCAGGAGUCUGCACACCCCCAGUGAGCGCAGGUACCCAUUGUGAUGUGAGAUAUAACUCGAGUGAUUGGUAUUCUUCUGAGAUAUUGCCCGAGGGGCAGAUUUGUUGAUAUUGUGCCCUAGGGGCGAACCAUUUAUGUGUCUAUCUUUCUUAUUGCCAGUCAUUUUCCUGCUUAAUUGUUGAAAAGGCAUUUCAUGAAGUUUAAUUGAACUAAAAUGAUUUUUACAUAUCUUUACAGAUUCACUAUCUACUGGCUUUUACUGCUUCAUUAUAGCCUGUAAUGUGCCUUACAUGAUUUCUUGCUUUCAGUCUUUAUUUAUGAUUAUUACUCACUGAGUUGGAGUACUCACUUUACUUCCUGCACCCCGUAUACAGACUCAGGCAUUGCUGAUCCUGCUAGCGAGAGUUGAGAGCUCCCGGUAGACUUCGGAGUUCACGAGGUAGCUGUUUGGCGUCCGCAGUCCCAUGUUUCUCCCCCUUUUAUCUCAUUUCUAUCUCUUUUAAGUUAUUCUAUAAUAGCUUGGUAGGCAUUUCAGACUUGUAAUGUAUUGAUAGAUGCUCAUGACUUGUGACACCCCAGUAUCGGGCUGUGUUGGAUUUAUUUUUUCGCAAACUAUUCGGUUAAUUGCUUACCUUUGGGUUAUUUAUUACGUUUUAGACUUAAUUAUUAUUGUUUAAUUGCUUAAAACUAGAAUGGGAAAGUCUCGGCUGGCUUGUCUUCAUGAGAGACGCCAUCACGACCGGGUCCGGGUUAGGGUCGUGACAAGUUGGUAUCAGAGCCUAGGUUACAUAGGUCUGACGAGUCAUGAGAAUGUUUAGUAGAGUCUCACGGAUCGGUACAGAGACGUUUGUAUUUAUCCUCGGGAGGCUGCAGAACCUUUAGGAAAAACUUUAUAUUCUUGAAAUUCUUGUCGUGCGAAUUUGUUGAUCCGAGUACUAACAUUUGUUAUUCUAUUCUCUCACAGAUGGUGAGGACACACGCUACCGGUCAGGAUGGACAACCAUCAGUACCACCAGUUGUGGCCACUAGAGGCCGAGGAUGCGGUCGAGGUCAUGGUCGCGGUAGGGACAAGGGUGUGGCCCACAUAGAAGCUAGGGCGGCACCUGCAUAUCCACCAGCCGCCCCAGUUCAGGAUCAUGUUCCAGUUGUGGACGCUCCAGCAGCACCAGCUCAGGCACCAGUUGUACCCAUUGUGAUUCCGGGUCUUUAGGAGGCCUUGGCUCAGAUUCUAUCAGUUUGCACUAGCCUAGCUUAGGCAGUCUCAGUUACGAUAGCCGUAACUACUUCUCAGGACGGGGGAGGCACUCAGUCUCCUGCCGCUCGCACACCUGAGCAGGUCGUGCAGGGACUUCAGACAUCGGGGGCACAUCCAGCCCAGCCGGUUGCAAUUGCUCAGGACUAUGUAAAUCCUGCCAUGCCAAAGAAUGAGCAGCAUAGGUUGGAG